ensembl:miRNA
UUUAAUUAGUACAGCCUGUAUUAGUAAUGUCAUCUAUUCUUUACAGGCUAUGCUAAUCUAUGC